rnacentral:rRNA from 1 species
ACGAGUUUGAUCCUGGCUCAGAUUGAACGCUGGCGGCAGGCUUAACACAUGCAAGUCGAGCGGAGACUUCGGUCUUAGCGGCGAACGGGUGAGUAAUACCUAGGAAUCUGCCUAUUAGUGGGGGAUAACGAAUCGAAAGGUUCGCUAAUACCGCAUACGUCCUACGGGAGAAAGGGGGGGAUCUUUGGACCUCUCGCUAAUAGAUGAGCCUAGGCCGGAUUAGCUAGUUGGUAGGGUAAAGGCCUACCAAGGCGACGAUCGGUAGCUGGUCUGAGAGGAUGAUCAGCCACACUGGGACUGAGACACGGCCCAGACUCCUACGGGAGGCAGCAGUGGGGAAUUUUGGACAAUGGGGGCAACCCUGAUCCAGCCAUGCCGCGUGAGUGAAGAAGGCCUUCGGUUGUAAGACUCUUUCUAGACGGAACGAAAUUAGCCUGGACCAAUACUCUGGUAGAUGACGGUACCGUAAGAAGAAGCACCGGCUAACUACGUG